AAAAUGUUUAAUAUAUGUGCAUAUGUGAAUAUUUUGAUAUAUAUAUAUAUAGGUCAUUUCUAAUAUUUCUAUGUUGUUUCCGUUUAAAAUAUUUACAUCGUUUUCCAAACAUAAUCUCCAUAGUUGAGCACCCUUUUGUAGAAGGUAUCACACAGCACUGCAAUAGCCUGACACUUGUAUUCAUUCUAGACAGCCCCUUCUGUGAGGACUGGGACCACAGCCAUUUAAUGUUUUAUCCCCAGCCAAGGUCCGCCAUGUAAUAGUUGUUGAGUAAAAAACCGUGUGCGUUGAAUGAAUGCUACUCACAACAGAGCCUUGUUCUUCCUUCAGUGGUUUCAGUAUUUUCUCUGCUGGGAUCUUUUAGGUUCUCAGCAUGUAGCAUUCACAUCAUCAAAAAGGAAGGAAAUAGAAAACACGGUGAUUAGUGACUGCAUGUGGAAUUUUGAUAAGACCCAGGCUUCCUCAUGCUUACUCUUGUCUCCAUUCCCUACGUUAUAAUGUCUGCCCUCACCCUCACCUCACCUGUGGACAGCAGGUGUAAGGAAGUGUCAGCAGUGAUCUGAUGGUAAACACAGAGUUUUGGCCCAUCACCCGUCUUCUUCAUGGAAGAUUGUGCGGCUUCCCCUGUUUUAUCUUAUUUCUCUUCCUCUCAGCUUACAGAAGAUUAUAUUAAUUUGAUUUUUUAAAUGUGCUAUGUCUCUUGUCUGGGUACACUACCCCAUACGUUCUGCUCCGCAGCGUGUUCUGGAGGUAGAGACAUGCAGUGUCAUUUAUGUGGCAGAUACUGAUUGGAUGCUGUGGAGUGCGGGGCCCCGUUUACAGAACUCAAGGGGUACCUCCUCCCUACCAAGAGCCACAAUCAACAUGACUGAGGCUUCCAGAGCAGGAAUAAGUCGCAAGAUGAGCUUCGCAACAUCGGUCUUGUCUCUCCGAAGUCUGCCGAGACAUGCGGAAAACCUCAGGGCAAGCUCAGCAUGUUCAGCCCUAUUGCAGCGGAGCCCUCGCUCUAGGUUUUAUACAUUUAGGAUAUAAAACAAUUAAGAAAACCCCUGUCUUUAAAGAAGAUGCUGCCAGCCACCAGCCUUAGAUGAGGACUGAAAAAAUAAACCCUGACCAAAAGAAAAAAAAAAAAAAAGGAAUGUUUUUACUGCAUAUAAAGGUAAUUACUUUUGUAAGUGGAAUUUUUGCAGGGUUUUUGUUUGUUUGUUUGUUUGUUUGUUUUCUGGAAGAUCUUGUGGGCGUAUUUUGAAGUUAAAAUCUUAGUUGUUGGAAAUAGAAUGGAACGGAUGCUGUAUUUUGUCAGAUGCUUUUUCUGCAUCUGUUGAGAGGAUCAUAUGGUUCUUAUCCUUUCUUUUAUUAAUGUGGUAUAUCACAUUGAUUGAUUUGUGAAAGGUGAACUACCCCUUUAGCCCAGGACUAAAUCCCACUUGGUCAUGGUGAAUAAUCCUUUUAAUGUACUGUUGGAUCCUAAUGGCUAGUGUCUUUUUUUUUUUAAGAUUUUAUUUAUUUAUUUAUUUG
rnacentral:lncRNA from 1 species